UACGAAGGGGGCUAGCGUUGUUCGGAAUUACUGGGCGUAAAGCGCACGUAGGCGGAUAUUUAAGUCAGGGGUGAAAUCCCAGAGCUCAACUCUGGAACUGCCUUUGAUACUGGGUAUCUUGAGUAUGGAAGAGGUAAGUGGAACUGCGAGUGUAGAGGUGAAAUUCGUAGAUAUUCGCAAGAACACCAGUGGCGAAGGCGGCUUACUGGUCCGGUACUGACGCUGAGGUGCGAAAGCGUGGGGAGCAAACAGG
rnacentral:rRNA from 1 species